UAACCCCGCGACGACUGUGGCGGCUGCGGAGGCAGCUUGGGGGAAGAUGGAAACGCUAAAAGACAAGACCCUGGAGGAGCUGGAGGAGAUGUAGAACGACCCGGAGGCCAUCGACGGACUGGUCCAGGACUCCCCGGAGGUCCAGGAUCUGCAGCUGGAGCGGGAGAUGGCGCUGGCCACCAACCGGAGCCUGGCCGAGCGGAACCUGGAGUUCAGGGUCCGCUGGAGAUCAGCCGCUCAAACCUCUCGGACAAGUACCAGGAGCUCCGGAAGCUGGUGGAGUGGUGCCAGGAGCAGAAGGCGAAGCUGGAGAAGUUCUCCUCAGCACUGCAGCUAGGGACCUUGUUGGACCUUCUGCAGAUUGAAAGCAUGAAGACUGAAGAAGAGUCCGAGGCCAUGGCUGAGAAGUUCCUGGAGGGCGAGGUGCCCCUGGACACGUUCCUGGAGAAUUUCUCCUCCAUGAGAACACUGUCACAUCUGCGCCGGGUUCGCGUGGAGAAGCUCCAGGAUGUGAUGAGAAAGCCCAGGGCCUCCCUGGAGCCAGCCGGGGACAUCCCACCUCCCCGCCCACCCCCGCCACUGCGCCCCGACCCCCAGGCGACGCCCCCGCCAGCCGAAGACGCUCAGCCACAGCCACCGCAGCCUUCAGUGGUCCCUCCCUACCCUUUGCCCUACAGCCCCUCUCCAGGCAUGCCCGUGGGCCCCACCGCCCAAGGAGCGCUCCAGCCGGCCCCCUUCCCCGUGGUGUCCCAGCCCUCGUUUUCCUACAGUGGGCCUCUGGGGCCCCCCUACCCCACAGCCCAGCCGGGAGCCAGAGCCCCUUCGGGCUACUCCUGGUCCCCACAGAGGAGCAUGCCGCCCCGGCCGGGCUAUCCCGUGGCCCCCACUGGUGCCUCUGGGCCUGCGUACCCCGUGAUGGGGGGCCAGGCCCCCAGUCCUGGUUAUCCGCAGCAGCCCCCCUACCUCUCCACAGGAGGAAAACCUCCGUACCCCACACAGCCCCAGCACUCAGGCCCCCUCCAGCCGCCCUACCCCCCCGGGCCCGCUCCUCCCUAUGGGUUCCCCCCUCCUCAGGGCCCCACCUGGCCUGGCUAUUAGGCAUAGUCCUGGCCCUCGGCCCUUGCCUGCUCCCACCUGUACCACAACCUUCAGCCCACCCCUUGCUGAGACUCGAGGCUAAUGGGAAGUGGAGUUGGCUGCCCACAGACUUGGGUCGCGCCCGGGAGCCUGAGGGGCCCCGCUGGGAGCGCACAGGCCUGGGAGGGCUGGCCGGCAGCGUGACUGGCUCGGCUGCACCGGUGGUCCCAAGGCCUGCGGGCCUCCCAGGGGAAGGAGCGCCUGGCUCCUGUGGCUGGCUCUCGCUUUCCUGGUGCACACCAAGCAGGGCGUUCAGUCCUUCCCGUGGGUGCCCACACCUGUGGACGUCUCCUCGUGACUGCACUCACUCACGGACUCAAGGACGCCCGAACCCAGUGAGGAGUUAUCUCAGCGAAGGGCUGGCUGGCCCCUGCUCACCCCCUCCCUCUUCUCUGGGAUUUAGCAAGUGCAACCACGGUGCCCACGCCAAGAGAGGCAGCUCUCUGUGUCUCUUGGUGCGUUCACACCGCACGCUCCAUGGCAGAGUUGGAUCAGGGGGAGAGAACAGAGUUAGGCAAAACAAAGAGUGAUUUUUACGUCACUCAUAAAGCCAUAACAGGACUCUGACAGACUGAUGUCAGGUCAGCUUGUCCUGUGUGCUGCCGUUUGAACAACAGCAGCAGUGCCCGUGCAGGGAGCAAGCCAAGGAUUGUGGAGGCGGAUCCCAGACCUUGCUGGCCCUGGUUGGAGAAUCCAGGAGCUGCCUUGGACCCUCUGGCUGGAGGAGCGGAGGCAGUUCUGGUCCAGAAGACUGUGGUCACAUCAGGGGCUCAUUUAGGAGCGGAAGGCCAGGUUGCCUCCCCGGCCACCUCUUGUCUGGGGUCUCCCUGCUUCUGGUUGACUUCUGUGGCUCACCCCCAUCCCGUCCACUCCUUUAGUGCCUUGAAUCUCAUCCACAGCAGCCCCCUCCCUUCCUUUGACUCUCUCCUGUAACUCUUCACAAGCCCCUAAAACCCUCCUAAGAGACAUCAAAAUAUGCCCUAACAGUUACUUCCCCUGUGGUGCUUUGUAAAACACCAUCACUAUGUCGGAGUCAUUUCUUUGCAUCUCUCUUAUCUUCAGAAUGUAAAGGGCAGAGACUGUGACUUUGAGCCACACACAGCCCCCACCACGCUGGGGGCUUUCAGCACCCAGUUCAGUAAUAAAAAUGACAAUAGACCAAAGGGGGUUGUGAUGAAUGGAGAAUUACCUUGGUUGUUACCAGAUGUGAACCAGGUCUCAAGGGCAGACUCUGGAGCUGCUAUCUGUUAGGAAGUCAUAUGUGCCUUGAAUUGUCCAUUACCCGAGUACCCAGCACCCGGUGGGCCUGGGGUGCUGGGGGCCAAAGAG